CCCCACUGCUGCAUGAGCUCACCUUCCAGGCCAUGGCCUACGACCUGCUCAGCAUCGAGAACAACACCUACAGGUACGAGACAACGGGCACCAGCGACUCGCGGGAGAAGGAGGCGCUGCUGGAUGAAGAUGACGAACUCUGGGUGCAGCUACGCCACAUGCACAUCGCUGACGUCUCCCAGAAGGUGACUGAGCUGCUGCACACCUUCUGUGAGAGCAAGAGGCUGACCACGGACGAGG